rnacentral:rRNA from 1 species
UUCUUAUAGAAUUUAUUAUAAGUAAGAUCUGCUCAAUGAAUUUAAAUAGCCGCAGAAUAUUUACUGUGCUAAGGUAGCAUAAUCAUUUGCCUUUUAAUUUAAGGCUAGUAUGAAAGAUCAAACAUUUAAAUUUUUCUAUACACUUUAACUUUCAAAUUUAAUUUAAAUGUAAAAAAACAUUUAUUAUAAAGAAAGACGACAAGACCCUAUUGAACUUCACUUUAGUUUAACUGGGGUAGUUAAUUAAUUAAAAUCUUAAUUUAUUUUAUUAUUAAAAAUAUGACCCAAUAAAAUUGAUUAAAUGAUCAAGUUACCAUAGGGAUAACAGCGUAAUAAAAUUUUAGAGUUCUUAUUAAAAAUUUAGAUUGCGACCUCGAUGUUGAAUGAUAAAUCUAUUAAAUGCAACCAUUUAAAAAGAAGGUCUGUUCGACCUUUAAUAUAUCACA